AUUGAACGCUGGCGGCAGGCUUAACACAUGCAAGUCGAGCGGGGUGAUGGUGCUUGCACUAUCACUUAGCGGCGGACGGGUGAGUAAUGCUUAGGAAUCUGCCUAUUAGUGGGGGACAACAUCUCGAAAGGGAUGCUAAUACCGCAUACGUCCUACGGGAGAAAGCAGGGGAUCACUUGUGACCUUGCGCUAAUAGAUGAGCCUAAGUCGGAUUAGCUAGUUGGUGGGGUAAAGGCCUACCAAGGCGACGAUCUGUAGCGGGUCUGAGAGGAUGAUCCGCAACACUGGGACUGAGACACGGCCCAGACUCCGCCGGGAGGCAGCAGUGGGGAAUUUUUCGCAAUGGGCGCAAGCCUGACGAAGCAACGCCGCGUGGAGGAUGAAGGCCUUCGGGUCGUAAACUCCUGUCGACCGGGACGAAAGCAGUCUGGGUGAACAUCCCGGGCUGUUGACUGUACCGGUGGAGGAAGCCACGGCUAACUCUGUGCCAGCCGCCGCGGUAA
rnacentral:rRNA from 1 species